rnacentral:rRNA from 1 species
GACGAACGCUGGCGGCGUGCUUAACACAUGCAAGUCGAACGGAAAGGCCCUGCUUUUGUGGGGUGCUCGAGUGGCGAACGGGUGAGUAACACGUGAGUAACCUGCCCUUGACUUUGGGAUAACUUCAGGAAACUGGGGCUAAUACCGGAUAGGAGCUCCUGCUGCAUGGUGGGGGGUGGAAAGUUUCGGCGGUUGGGGAUGGACUCGCGGCUUAUCAGCUUGUUGGUGGGGUAGUGGCUUACCAAGGCUUUGACGGGUAGCCGGCCUGAGAGGGUGACCGGCCUCAUUGGGACUGCGAUACGGCCCAGACUCCUACGGGAGGCAGCAGUGGGGAAUAUUGCACAAUGGGCGGAAGCCUGAUGCAGCAACGCCGCGUGCGGGAUGACGGCCUUCGGGUUGUAAACCGCUUUCGCCUGUGACGAAGCGUGAGUGACGGUAAUGGGUAAAGAAGCACCGGCUAACUACGUG